rnacentral:rRNA from 1 species
UCCGUAGCUUGUUUGGUAAGUUCCCUGUGAAAUUCUAUCUCUCAAGGGUAGAGCGGGCGGGGAGUACUGCCAGACUAGAGACCGGAAGACGUGAAAAGUACGUCCAAAGUAGCGGUAAAAUGUGUUAAUCUUGGGCGGACUAACAACAGCGAAGGCAUUUCACGAGGACGGUUCUGACAGUAAGGGAUGAAGGCUAGGGGCGCAAAACGGAUUAGAUACCCGUGUAGUCCUAGCAGUAAACACUGCACACUAAACAUUAGUACCUCCUCGAGAGGUAUUAGUGCUGAAGCGAAGGCGAAGAGUGUGCUACUUGGGAAGUAUAGUCGCAAGACCGAAACUUAAAGGAAUUGGCGGGGGAGCACAAG